rnacentral:rRNA from 1 species
GGACCUCAGAUCAGGCAAGACUACCCGCUGAGUUAAGCAUAUCAC